AUUCUGUAGUGUGAAAAUGAUUCUGAGUCCCCCUGGACUGGACACCACUUCAUGCAGGUUACUUCCACAGACCAGACUGGUACCCAUUUAUAUCUGGGUGGAC